rnacentral:lncRNA from 10 species
AAUAGCCAAUAAAGUUAAAUUUAACACAGACAUCCAAUUUCAAAUAUCUGAUAUAAAUUAUAAUGCUAUGCUAAUAUAUGGGAUAUAAAUUAAAGCCUAAGUGAUAUAUUUAAUUCAAGAUAUUCUUUGCAGCAAUAGCAUAUGAUUGCCAUGGAAUCCCAUUACAGUUAACAACAGGAAGCUUUCAUGUGCCUAUCAGAAGAACAUGAGAAUUGUUUCUAUGAGCCCCUUUCUGCUUGUAGCAUUCUCAAACCCUUUCCCCUGCCCACACCAUUCACAUGCUUACCUCCUACAGCCAUCUGUGCCUAACACCUGAUUCAGACCCUUCUGCAUACACCCAUCCAAACAAUACUGAUGCCUGUGACGGGGGGCCUUUCCAUAAUACUCACAAGGUCAGUGUCUUACAGUGCCUGGCAUCAUGGGAAUUCCAGACAUUUUCACUGAUGUAUUUUGUCUUCUCUUUUUCACAGCUACCUUCUUUUACCAUGAGUUUCAGCCCUCCCCACAGAAAAAGUGUGUCAGAUUUUCAGGUGCCCUAAGCCUUAAAGCUUCUACCUAUUAUCUACUUUGAUCUGGAUCAGAGUGGGAUAAUGGAAUCUUUUCUUCUCAAAACACACAGCAUCGGGGUGGAUAACGAUCCCUGAUGGAUGUUCAUCUUCCCAACAUGCCUGGACUGUGGGCAGGAUCAUUCAAACAGUGGAGUGACAGGGAGGUGAGGAUUGUCCGGGAAGCCACUCAUGCUAACCUCACUAAUAUAAACAAGUUUUCAAGACCCCCACGUUCAGGGACCUGGAAGAGAAGCCACGUAUGAAACUGUUCCAAAUGAGGCAAAAAGACUUUUGAGAUCAAUUGCCUAACCAAGGAUGACUGCAAAGACUAGUAUCACGAAAAAAUGUGUUCUUGGCACAAUAUUGUCAAGACCAAAAGUGUUUUACCUUUAGUUUUCUAGGUAUUGUUUGUAUGUUACAAUAUAAAUGUUAUAAUACCCUGAUAAGUGUUUUUCUGGUCUACUUAUAAAGAGUUGAGAUUUUAUUAACCCGAGAGGCAAAAACAAAUGGCGACAUAACUUUCCAAAAUUAGGAUAUGGAUGGGUGCACCACUGAUAUGGUUUGGCUCUGUGUCUGCACCCAAAUCCCAUUUCAUAUUGUAAUCCCCACAUGUCGAGGGAGGUGCUUGGUGGGAGGAUAUUGGAUCAUGGGGAUGGUUUCUCCUAUGUUGUUAUCAUGAUAAUGAGUGAGUUCUCACAAGAGCUGGUGGUUUUAAAAAUGUUUGACAGUUUCCUUCUUGUGCUGUCUGUCCUGCCUCCAUGUAAGAUGUGCCUGCUUCCCCCUUACCUUCUGCUAUGAUUGUAAGUUUCCUGAGGCCUCCCCAGCCAUGUAGAGCUGUGUCAAUUAAACCUCUUUUGUUUACAAAUUAAAUUACCAACUCUCAGGUAGUAUCUUUACAGCAGUGUGAAAAUGGACUAACACAAAAACUCUUUUGGAAUGUCUAAUGAUUACAAUAAUGAGCCACAUUUUCCCAGCUAUUGUAAAUAAUAGUAAUACUACUGUUACUGAUAGUACUAAUGACAAUAUGUAUUCAUUUCAGCCAUCAAAAUGUAUAUGCACCUUCUCUCAAAAAAUCUCAUUUAAAUGGCAGGAAUAUAUUCAGCUGUCUAUCUUGAAAGAUACAGAAGAAAUCUGUAAAAUGUAAUACACCAGAAAGAUUUUGGAAUUCCCCAGAUAUAAAAGGAAUUGUUGUUAAAUUCCUAAGUUCUGCCAUUUCAUAGAAAACUCCAGAGCUGCAAGCUCAAUGUUUGCCUUGACAAUUACUGGACAUGAAGGAAUGUCCUGGAGAGCCACCCUGCAGGUAGCAUGCAUGUUGAGGACUUUUAUCUUGGAAGAUUUCUUGGUAAGUCCUUGAAGUUCAUUUAUAAAUCUGUUUGCCACACGUGAGAAAUUCUUCUAAUGCAGUUAACAACUCCCUAGAAUUCACCUCAAUGGUUCUCAGUACUUAACAUGAUUAAGAAACUUAUUAGAUGUGUUGUUUACAUAAAUCCAUAUCUGGGCCUAGGCAUCUGCAUUUUGACCAUAAAAAUAGGUGAUUUUUAUGCAGGCAGCCUAGUGUCCACAUAAAAACUUAGACCUAGAUUAUUUUUUCUAUGUGAUUUGUCACAUCUCAAAUUUUUAAUGAAUUAAUUUGUUUUUACUUUUACACAGUGUCUAGUUCUGUUGCCCUGGAGUGCAGUGCAGCUUGAAGUGCAAUGGUGCAAUCAUAGCUCACUGCAGCCUUGAAUGCCUGGGUCCAAGCAAUCCUCCUGCCUCAGCCUCCUGAGUAACUAGGACAACAGGUGUGCACCACCACACCUGGCUAAAUUAUUGUAUUUUAAAUUGUUUGCAGAAACAGUGUCUUGCCAUGUUGCCCAGGCUGGUCUCAAACUCCUGGUUUCAAGUGAUCCUCCUGCCUUGGUGUCUCAAAAUGCUGGGAUUACAAGAGUGAGCCACAUACCCAGCCAGUUCUCAGCUUUUUAUGCUUAUAUUUUUUUCCUGAAAAUCUUUAUGUCUAUCUUGAAUUUCUGGACGACUUUUAGCACCAUGAUUGGAAAGGUUCGUAUUCAGAUAUUUCUAAUUAGGGCUUAUCAUCUGUAUAUUGGACUAACUGCAUUCACAUAGAAUGGAGCUUUUCUGAAGUGAAGUUGAUAGCAACUCUGCCAGAUUGGUUGAACAGAGAUCAACCUCACUUUUCAUUGAAAAAAAAAUAAUUACCAGAAACAUAAAAUAACCACUUAUAACUUAACUUACACUUUUUAUUACAGAAAUGUAUUUAAAUAUAUUACCUUAUGCUAUUGAAGUUUUAUGUCUAAAAUUAUUGAAUUAAUACAAAUCUUGGUUAUCGGUGACAGAAUAAAAGCUUCAUGAAAGUAGGUACUAUUGUAUCUCUAGCGCCUGGAAGUGUGCCUGAUUAAAAAGUAAGGAAGAAUGAAAACAAAAUAAUAAAGUAAAAAAAGGGAAAGGGAGGUAAGAGGAGGGCAGGGGAGGAGGAGAUGAGAGAAGACAAAAGGAAAGGAAAAGGUAAAGAUAAGGAAAGGGGAAAGGAAAGUAGAAAGGAAAGAGGAAAGAAAAGGAAAAAGGGAAAAAAAGAUUACCAGUGCAGCUAAGUGUGUAACUGAUUAAACUAAAAUAUCCCUAGGCAUUUUUUUCCCAGCAGGAAAAACACAUUUAGUGUAACUCCUGUGUUUCAGUAUAGCUUUUUUUUUUUUUAUCCCAAUGUCUUUUCCUAUACUUAAAGAACCCUAGACAGCUAUUUAUUUUCCCUAAUACUCCAUUGUGAAGCGCUUUCCUCAUCCUGGAGUGCAUUUGAAUUAAAGUACCAUAUGCUAUUCUGAAGAGCUUGUUUCUAUAAAGUGUUCAUUAUGAUCGUGAGCACCCUUUUUCAAUUUUUGUUGCUGCUGUGUGGUACAGUUGGAGCCAAACUAAAUAAUGUGAGAAUGAAUGUGUAUUCGUGUGUGUUUUUGUGUGUGUGCAUGCAUGUGCGUGUGUUUUCUUGACCUAUAGCUGUAUCUUUCCAUACGAUUCUAUUUUACUGAUUUCAAAGACGUAUUGCUAAUACAUCAAUUUGUUUAAUUCAAAUGAUUGAUCAAAGUGAAAUGUAAUAUAAAUGUACAAAGCUUUUAAGAAUCAGAUAUGUAACUGUAGAACUUUAAAUUCAACUGAUGUGUAAAAGAACAAUGUAAAAACAUAUAUUUGAAGGGAUAUUCAAUCUUCUGCAGUAAUAAAUUAGAUUUUGGCUGGGUGCAGAGGCUCAUGCCUAUAAUCCCAGCACUUUGGGAGGCCGAAGCAGGCAGAUCACAAGGUCAGGAG